rnacentral:rRNA from 1 species
GAUGAACGCUGGCGGCGUGCCUAAUACAUGCAAGUCGAGCGAACGGACGAGAAGCUUGCUUCUCUGAUGUUAGCGGCGGACGGGUGAGUAACACGUGGAUAACCUACCUAUAAGACUGGGAUAACUUCGGGAAACCGGAGCUAAUACCGGAUAAUAUUUUGAACCGCAUGGUUCAAAAGUGAAAGACGCUCUUGCUGUCACUUAUAGAUGGAUCCGCGCUGCAUUAGCUAGUUGGUAAGGUAACGGCUUACCAAGGCAACGAUGCAUAGCCGACCUGAGAGGGUGAUCGGCCACACUGGAACUGAGACACGGUCCAGACUCCUACGGGAGGCAGCAGUAGGGAAUCUUGCGCAAUGGGCGAAAGCCUGACGGAGCAACGCCGCGUGAGUGAUGAAGGUCUUCGGAUCGUAAAACUCUGUUAUUAGGGAAGAACAUAUGUGUAAGUAACUGUGCACAUCUUGACGGUACCUAAUCAGAAAGCCACGGCUAACUACGUG